ACUACUACACAUCCAAGUUCCUUAUAGAGAAUACGUACUUGGAAAACUCUAUUGUUUCUUCUAAAAUAAUUUUAACACUGUUCUCUUUGGAGAAGCCUUUCGGUUGGAGGAUUCUUCCGUUCUGUGCAACCUGCAAUCACUUUACCUUCACCACCUCCUAGAGAGGGGACUCCUCCAGCAGCAACAGAAGCCUGCCUCCUGCAGUCAGUGUCAAUCUGCCCCAACUAAGACCCUCCCUUGGGAACACGCUUACUUGAAAUGUCAGGACAGCACGACAUGAGCCUAUGGUAAUGAACCAUAUCUCAUUACUUAAAGUAAAUUUAAAAUUGCCAAUGUUAAGAUAAUCACAAAAAAAAACCCUGUAUUUAUAAAAUACCUGUAUUUUAUGUAGGAAUCAUGAGGAAGCCCUAUGAUUUUUAAGGCUUAGGUUUGUUGGUAAAAUCAUCAUAAACAGGAGAAAAAUGCAAAACCUGGGACAGUAGAUAGCCAUUCCAAAAGCUUUAUAUUAAUUGGAGAUUCAAAGUAUUAAAUAUCCUAUUAGAGUCUACACCUGAGAGGAAUAGGCCUGGGGAGGUGUCUUAGUCCCUGAUUCAGGGAUCAAGCAGCUACAAGAAGAUGAGUGAGGUUCCAGAGCCCGCUGGCUAAUGGCAGACAGGUCAUCUUCCCAAUUCACCUAACCCUGGAAGACUGCUCAUUCCACUCCACCAAGCUGUCUCUUGGUUCACCUUGAAAAAUGUCCUAGUGUAUGUUAACAGCACUAUCUUCUUUACUCAAUAUUGCUCAUAAUUUAAGAAAGGUGUCCAGGCAUGACUAUCACAUUUCCAGAUAACAAGAAGGUAGAAAAGAUAGCAACAAGCUUCAAUUGAAAAUUAGAAUUCAAAACUACCUUAAAGGGCAUGAAUAAUAGAUUAAAUAUAGUAAAAUUUCCUAGAGAGAAAUGGAGUUUUAAAGAAUAAAUUUAUAUAUUGAUUAAUAAUUACACAUAUGGAAAACCUGAGUUAAGUUCAACAUUUCAGCAAUGGAAUGUGGCUUUUAAUGCUUAAUUUUCCUUUGUCUACACAAUUUCCCUUGGGCAAAAGCUGUGCUGCAGAGGGAGGAGAAAUGUGUGCACGGUUGUCUUUAUAAUCUUUCAGAAUUAGGAAGUGAUAUAAUCUGGUAGUGGGGUGUGUUGGGUUUGGCUCUGUGCCUUGGAAAUAUUUUUACAGAUUGGAACAGAGAAUGAGGGUAAGCGGAAAGGAUGGUUACUGAGGAAUAGCGGAUUAUAAGGCAACCUCGAGCACCCAGCGGAGACUUGAGGUUCUGAUACUGAGGUGCCCGUCUCCAUCACUGAGCGAAGUCCUCUUGUAGCUGGCUGCAUUGAAUUUGAUGGUAAAACCAGAAUACGACAACAUAUUGGAGUAAGAUUUGAAUUAUUUGCCUUAUUCUAGUUCUUACAAUUUUAAAAGGAGCAUCAGCAAACUCAAGAGGAGAAAAACCAGAGGACCUAGAUGAGGAAAGUAAAGUUUGGGGACAACAUGACAUAAAAGGAACUGUUCAAAAGACUAAGUCUAUUUCAUCAGAAGAAGAGAACACUUAGGUCACCAUAUUCAAUAUUAAAAAACUCAAACAGGGUGAGCCUCGUGGCCUAGUGGUUAAGUUCGGCACACUCUGCUUCGGCGGACUGGGUUUGGUUCCUGGGCACAGACCCACAUGGCUCUGAUAGUGGCUGUGCUGUGCUGGCGGCCACGUACUUAAAAAAAAGAAUAGAGGAAGAUUGGCACAGAUGUUAGCAAAGGUCGAAUCUUCUUCCGCAAAAAAGGAAAAGAAAAGAACAAACAAUUUUCACGUGUAAAACUACUCAGACAUUCCCUGCUUCAGAAGAAACCACUGGGACCUAUUUGAUGAAGAAAUACAAAUUAGAUUUUGGCUUAAUAUACGUAAGAAUUUGCUUACCUACGGAACUGUCCACAGCUGGCAUGGAAAGAUGGUUUUCUGUCAGUGUAUCACUGGUGAUUUUCAACUAGGUGUGCCAUGAUAUUAAUAUGAGUAUAGUAAAGGAAUGUAGUCUUGCACUAUCAGGCUAGAGUAAAUAACUUUAAGGUAGAGCCUGAUUCUUCAAUCCAAAAUCUGUUAAAAUAUGUAAAUUCUGGCGUAUAUCUUUCUAACGAGCAGAAAUUAUCCUACUACAUAAAUCUCAUUAAUUUAAAAAAUUAGUUUAAUAUAUUUAUGCAAACAUAUAAAGUUCACUAGGAUUAUUUUCUCUACUGGUGGACGCAAGCUUAGGU
rnacentral:lncRNA from 1 species